rnacentral:rRNA from 1 species
UACAGAGGGGGCAAGCGUUAUUCGGAAUUAUUGGGCGUAAAGGGCGUGUAGGCGGUUUCCUAAGUGGGAUGUGCAGUCCCCGGGCUUAACCUGGGAACUGCAUCCCAGAUUGGGGAGCUGGAGUGCUGGAGAGGGUGGUGGAAUUCCACGUGUAGCGGUGAAAUGCGUAGAGAUGUGGAGGAACACCAGUGGCGAAGGCGGCCACCUGGACAGUAACUGACGCUGAGGCGCGAAAGUGUGGGUAG